UAGCUCAGUUGGUUAGAGCCUGUUGCUAAUAACACCAAAGUUGCAGGUUCAAUCCCUGC
rnacentral:tRNA from 1 species